UAUGGACGUCCCAAAGUUUCGAUAUAGCACUGACCAAAUUUCUAGGUAUGACGUCAAAGUUGCAUGUCCCAAUCCUAUGUAUCCUUCGGCGGGGAGGCUAUCCCAUCACCUUGUGGUGCUUGGAAAAAAUGUAAUCUGAAUUAAUGGCAGACAGAAGUCCCCGCCUAGGAUACAAAUGUAUAGAAGAUUAAGGAAUAACUUCGCGAAAUGAGAAAACUGUCCUGGCCGACUCGUUUGGAGGUUGAAGGACAUCCCACCCUGACACUCUGCAGAUGUACAGAACUUGUUGUGAACCUCCCAGCCACCAGGAUAUUCACUAUACCCCAUGA